rnacentral:misc_RNA from 1 species
AAGUCGUAACAAGGUUUCCGUAGGUGAACCUGCGGAAGGAUCAUUAUUAAUACAUGGUUAACACCAUCAUUUCAUGUGCAACUUAACUGACUGCUGCCAGUACUUGGGGCUUACCUUAGGGUGAGUCACAUACCUGGCGCUUGCCCUGUCCCAUUAUCCCAGCGCAAGGGUAAAACCUACGUUGGGCUAGUGGAAUUAGGGCACCCAGGCUUAGUAUUCCUUGGUUCUCACUUACGUGGGUAAUCAGGUCUAAGUUAAGCCUGUUAUUUAAACCAUUAUACAUCAGUCUUGAAAUCCGUCAUCAGUGGGUAGCUGCAAAGCACCAACUGCUCUGACACUUAAAGGGUAAAAAACUUUUAGCAACGGAUCUCUAGGCUCUC